rnacentral:rRNA from 1 species
AUACGGGGGGGGCAAGCGUUUGUUCGGAAUUACUGGGCGUAAAGGGCUCGUAGGCGGCCAACUAAGUCAUACGUGAAAUCCCUCGGCUUAACCGGGGAACUGCGUCUGAUACUGGAUGGCUUGAGUUCGGGAGAGGGAUGCGGAAUUCCAGGUGUAGCGGUGAAAUGCGUAGGUAUCUGGAGGAACACCGGUGGCGAAGGCGGUUCUCUGGGCCUUACCUGACGCUGAGGAGCGAAAGCGUGGGGAGCAAACAGG